rnacentral:rRNA from 1 species
UAAAGCUCGAAGGUGCGGGUAUCGAACAGGAUUAGAUACCCUGGUAGUCCGCACGGUAAACGAUGGAUGCCCGCUGUUUGCGAUAUACUGUGAGCGGCCAAGAGAAAUCGUUAAGCAUCCCACCUGGGGAGUACGCCGGCAACGGUGAAACUCAAAGGAAUUGACGGGGGCCCGCACAAGCGGAGGAACAUGUGGUUUAAUUCGAUGAUACGCGAGGAACCUUACCCGGGCUUGAACUGCAGGAGAAGGAUACAGAGAUGUUGACGUCCUUCGGGACUCCUGUGGAGGUGCUGCAUGGUUGUCGUCAGCUCGUGCCGUGAGGUGUCGGCUUAAGUGCCAUAACGAGCGCAACCCUUUUCGCCAGUUGCCAUCAGGUGAUGCUGGGCACUCUGGGGAUACUGCCACCGUAAGGUGUGAGGAAGGUGGGGAUGACGUCAAAUCAGCACGGCCCUUACGUCCGGGGCUACACACGUGUUACAAUGGGGAGUACAGAGAGUCGGUCGCACGCAAGUACGAUCCAAUCAUGAAAGCUCUCCUCAGUUCGGAUUGGGGUCUGCAACCCGACCCCAUGAAGCUGGAUUCGCUAGUAAUCGCGCAUCAG